GUGGUAACGGUAGCCUAGUGGUCAUGGUUGCGAACUCAUGUUUCGUAGAGUUGCGGGUUCGAACCCUGCUGCCACU